CGCAAGGAUGACACGCACAAAU
rnacentral:miRNA from 1 species